rnacentral:rRNA from 1 species
AAUGAACGUUGGCGGCAUGGAUUAGGCAUGCAAGUCGCGCGCGAAACGUAGCAAUACGUGGAGAGCGGCGAAAGGGAGAGGAAUACGUGGGAACCUACCUCGGGGCCUGGAAUAGCGGCGGGAAACUGCCGGUAAUGCCAGAUAACGUCUCCGGACCAAAGGUGUGAUUCCGCCUGGAGAUGGGCCCACGUCCUAUCAGCUUGUUGGUGAGGUAAUGGCGCACCAAGGCUAAGACGGGUAUGGGGUGUGAGAGCAUGCCCCCACUCACUGGGACUGAGACACUGCCCAGACACCUACGGGUGGCUGCAGUCGAGAAUCUUCGGCAAUGAGCGCAAGCUUGACCGAGCGAUGCCGCGUGCGGGAUGAAGGCCCUCGGGUUGUAAACCGCUGUCGUAGAGGAGUAAUGGUCAGGGGGUUCUCCCUCUGAUUUGAACAAUUCUAGGAGGAAGGACGGGCUAAGUUCGUGCCAGCAGCCGCCGUAAGAC